rnacentral:SRP_RNA from 1 species
CUUGGGUAUAGCAGCAUACCUGUAGUCCCAGCUAAUGGGUAACUGAGGCAGGAAUAUUGCUUGGGCCCAGAAGUUUGGUACUGUAAUGCCCUUUGCUGAUGGGAUGUCCACACUAAAUUCAGCAUGAGGAGGAACGAGCUCAGAGAUGGAGCAGGUCAAAACUCAUAUUCUGAUCAGUACUGGGAUCACACCUGUGAAUAACCACUGCACCCCAGUCUGGGAAACAUAGCAAGACCCUAUCUUUU